CUUGUGUGGAAAAUCUUUUAGUUUGAGGAAUACCUUAAAGACACACAAACGCAUUCACAGUGGAGUUAAACCAUUCAAGUGUAACCUGUGUGGAAAGUGUUUUACUCUAAAGAAUAACCUAAAUAGUCAUACGCUCAUCCACACUGGAGAGAAACCAUUCAGCUGUGACUUGUGUGGAAAACCUUUUAGACAGAAGAGUGGGCUAAAAAAUCACCAACUCAUCCACAGUGGAGUUAAGGCUUACAAGUGUGAUCAGUGCGGUAAAUCUUAUACUCGCAAUGAUGCCUUACAGACUCAUCAAGUUUCCCACUCUGGAAUUAAGGCGUACAGCUGUGACUUUUGUGGGAAAACCUUUAACAACCUUGGACGCCGAAAUAAACACCAACGCAUUCACACUGGAGAGGAUGUGUACUGCUGUGAUCAGUGUGACAAAUGGUUUACAACAUAUGCAAACUUACAAAUCCACAAAAUUACCCACACCGAAGAGAGAUCCUAUAAAUGUGACCUGUGUGAGAAGGCUUUUAAAUAUCCACAUUCCCUGAAAGAACACCAACAGAUCCACACCAGAAAAAGACUCUACAAGUGCAGUUACUGUGAGAAGCAGAGCGACACAGAUGGAUCCAGUUCUCAACCCUGUCAUCACUGUGG